rnacentral:rRNA from 1 species
UACGAAGGGGGCUAGCGUUGCUCGGAAUCACUGGGCGUAAAGCGCACGUAGGCGGCUUUUAAGUCAGGGGUGAAAUCCUGGAGCUCAACUCCAGAACUGCCUUUGAUACUGAGAAGCUUGAGUCCGGGAGAGGUGAGUGGAACUGCGAGUGUAGAGGUGAAAUUCGUAGAUAUUCGCAAGAACACCAGUGGCGAAGGCGGCUCACUGGCCCGGUACUGACGCUGAGGUGCGAAAGCGUGGGAGCAAACAGG